rnacentral:rRNA from 1 species
GCGUGCUUACACAUGCAAGUCGAGCGGUGAAGCACCUUCGGGUGUGAAUUAGCGGCGAACGGGUGAGGAACACGUGAAGAAUCUGCCUUCAACUCUGGGAUAACUCCGGGAAACCGGGGCUAAUACCGGAUAUGAGCCUUGAUCGCAUGAUCGGGGCUGGAAAGUUUUUCGGUUGAAGAUGACUUCGCGGCCUAUCAGCUUGUUGGUGAGGUAAUGGCUCACCAAGGCGACGACGGGUAGCCGGCCUGAGAGGGCGACCGGCCACACUGGGACUGAGACACGGCCCAGACUCCUACGGGAGGCAGCAGUGGGGAAUAUUGGGCAAUGGAGGAAACUCUGACCCAGCGACGCCGCGUGAGGGAUGAAGGCCUUCGGGUUGUAAACCUCUUUCAGUAGGGAAGAAGCGAAAGUGACGGUACCUACAGAAGAAGCACCGGCUAACUAUGUGCCAGCAGCCGCGGUAAUACAUAGGGUGCAAGCGUUGUCCGGAAUUAUUGGGCGUAAAGAGCUCGUAGGUGGUUCGAUACGUCGGAUGUGAAAAUCAGGGGCUCAACCCCUGACCUGCAUUCGAUACGGUCGAGCUAGAGUUUGGUAGGGGAGACUGGAAUCCCUGGUGUAGCGGUGGAAUGCGCAGAUAUCAGGAGGAACACCGAUGGCGAAGGCAGGUCUCUGGGCCAAUACUGACACUGAGGAGCGAAAGCGUGGGGAGCGAACAGGAUUAGAUACCCUGGUAGUCCACGCCGUAAACGGUGGGCGCUAGUUGUGCGAACCUUCCACGGUUUGUGCGACGCAGCUAACGCAUUAAGCGCCCCGCCUGGGGAGUACGAUCGCAAGAUUAAAACUCAAAUGA